rnacentral:rRNA from 1 species
UACGGGGGGAGCAAGCGUUGUUCGGAUUUACUGGGCGUAAAGAGCGCGCAGGCGGUCGUUCAAGUCGAGUGUGAAAGCCCCCGGCUCAACUGGGGAGGGUCACUCGAUACUGAUCGACUCGAAGGCAGGAGAGGGUAGUGGAAUUCCCGGUGUAGUGGUGAAAUGCGUAGAUAUCGGGAGGAACACCAGUGGCGAAGGCGACUACCUGGCCUGUUCUUGACGCUGAGGCGCGAAAGCUAGGGGAGCAAACGGG